rnacentral:rRNA from 1 species
CCUUGGUUCUAUUUUGUUGGUUUCUAGGACCAAAGUAAUGAUUAAUAGGAAUAGUUGGGGGCAUUAGUAUUUAGCAGUUAGAGGUGAAAUUCUUGGAUCUGCUAAAGACUAACUUCUGCGAAAGCAUUUGUCAAGGAUGUUUUCAUUAAUCAAGAACGAAAGUUAGGGGAUCGAAGACGAUCAGAUACCGUCGUAGUCUUAACCAUAAACUAUGCCGACUAGGGAUCAGACUGUCGUUAAUUUACUGACGCGUUUGGCACCUUAUGAGAAAUCAAAGUUUUUGGGUUCCGGGGGGAGUAUGGUCGCAAGGCUGAAACUUAAAGGAAUUGACGGAAGGGCACCACCAGGAGUGGAGCCUGCGGCUUAAUUUGACUCAACACG